UACUGUGGCAAUAUCAGCCUGUCAUUGCCUGAUCUCGUUAGAUCUCUGCAGCUAAGCAGGUCUGAGCCUGGUUUAGUAGGUGGAUGGGAGACCACUGAGAAUUCCAGGUGCCACAGUGG
rnacentral:rRNA from 1 species